ensembl:processed_transcript 1700108F19Rik RIKEN cDNA 1700108F19 gene
GUCUGGACUUUGCAACCCUGGAAGGCUUUGCUGCAGACCAGAGAGCUGCCAGGAGGCCUCAGAAAUGCCUGAGAACAAAGAGGCGGUAAACACACACGCUGAAACCUUUUACCAACUGGCUGUGGCCCAAACCAAAAUGAGAAAUGAAUUGCUGAGAGCUGCCAUUGAUGGACACAGAGGGUGUUAAAACCCAGAGCACAUAAGCCAGGA